rnacentral:rRNA from 1 species
GAUGAACGCUGGCGGCGUGCCUAAUACAUGCAAGUCGGGCGAACGGACGAGAAGCUUGCUUCUCUGAUGUUAGCGGCGGACGGGUGAGUAACACGUGGAUAACCUACCUAUAAGACUGGGAUAACUUCGGGAAACCGGAACUAAUACCGGAUGAUAUUUUGAACCGCAUGGUUCAAAAGUGAAAGACGGUCUUGCUGUCACUUAUAGAUGGAUCCGCGCUGCAUUAGCUAGUUGGUAAGGUAACGGCUUACCAAGGCAACGAUGCAUAGCCGACCUGAGAGGGUGAUCGGCCACACUGGAACUGAGACACGGUCCAGACUCCUACGGGAGGCAGCAGUAGGGAAUCUUCCGCAAUGGGCGAAAGCCUGACGGAGCAACGCCGCGUGAGUGAUGAAGGUCUUCGGAUCGUAAAACUCUGUUAUUAGGGAAGAACAUAUGUGUAAGUAACUGUGCACAUCUUGACGGUACCUAAUCAGAAAGCCACGGCUAACUACGUG